rnacentral:lncRNA from 1 species
CGGGUAUAAUCCUUUACCCGUAUCCAAUGGCUCACCACAUAGCCAUAAUCCAUGACACAUAUUCCAAUUAAAUUGUGUCUAACAGUCAUAAGCUAUUUCAAGCUCGAUAUAUAUGCAUGAUAUGAAAUGAAAAAUGCACGGGUAGCCAUCUAGACCCGGUAUUGGCCCAAGUCGAUUUUUCAUCCAAUAAAUUGGCCAAUGCGUCCAAUUUCACUCCAACUUGCUCCAUUUCUUUUUCCAAUCCCUCAAUUCACCAAACACAAACUAAUUAACACACAAUUAGGCAAAAUUUAUCUUC